AUUGAACGCUGGCGGCACGCCUUACACAUGCAAGUCGAACGGUAACAGAUCUUCGGAUGCUGACGAGUGGCGAACGGGUGAGUAAUACAUCGGAACGUGCCUAGUAGUGGGGGAUAACUACUCGAAAGAGUGGCUAAUACCGCAUGAGAUCUACGGAUGAAAGCAGGGGAUCGCAAGACCUUGUGCUACUAGAGCGGCCGAUGGCAGAUUAGGUAGUUGGUGGGAUAAAAGCUUACCAAGCCGACGAUCUGUAGCUGGUCUGAGAGGACGAUCAGCCACACUGGGACUGAGACACGGCCCAGACUCCUACGGGAGGCAGCAGUGGGGAAUUUUGGACAAUGGGCGCAAGCCUGAUCCAGCAAUGCCGCGUGCAGGAUGAAGGCCUUCGGGUUGUAAACUGCUUUUGUACGGAACGAAAAGCCCUGGGUUAAUACCCUGGGGUCAUGACGGUACCGUAAGAAUAAGCACCGGCUAACUACGUGCCAGCAGCCGCAGUAAGAC
rnacentral:rRNA from 1 species